UACGUAGGGUGCAAGCGUUGUCCGGAAUUAUUGGGCGUAAAGAGCUCGUAGGCGGCCAGUUGCGUCUGCUGUGAAAUCCCGGGGCUCAACCCCGGGCGUGCAGUGGAUACGGGCUGGCUAGAGGCAGGCAGGGGAGAACGGAAUUCCCGGUGUAGCGGUGAAAUGCGUUGAGAUCGGAUGGAACGCCCGUGGCGAAAGCGAGGUCCUGGACGUUUUCUGACGCUGAGACGCGAAAGCCAGGGGAGCGAACGGG
rnacentral:rRNA from 1 species